rnacentral:rRNA from 1 species
UACGGGGGGGGCAAGCGUUGUUCGGAAUUACUGGGCGUAAAGGGUCCGUAGGUGGCCAACUAAGUCAGACGUGAAAUCCCUCAGCUUAACUGGGGAACUGCGUCUGAGACUGGAUGGCUUGAGUGCAGGAGAGGAAUGCGGAAUUCCAGGUGUAGCGGUGAAAUGCGUAGAUAUCUGGAGGAACACCGGUGGCGAAGGCGGCAUUCUGGACUGCAACUGACACUGAACGACGAAAGCCAGGGGAGCAAACGGG